rnacentral:rRNA from 1 species
GACGAACGCUGGCGGCGUGCUUAACACAUGCAAGUCGAGCGGUGAAGCCCAGCUUGCUGGGUGGAUGAGUGGCGAACGGGUGAGUAACACGUGAGUAACCUGCCCCCUUCUUCUGGAUAACUGCCUGAAAGGGUAGCUAAUACGGGAUAUUCUGGCCUGCUCGCAUGGGUGGUUUGGAAAGGUUUUUCGGUGGAGGAUGAGCCCGCGGCCUAUCAGCUUGUUGGUGGGGUAAUGGCCUACCAAGGCGACGACGGGUAGCCGGCCUGGAGAGGGUGGACGGCCACAUUGGGACUGAGACACGGCCCAG